rnacentral:rRNA from 1 species
CCUACGGGAGGCAGCAGUGGGGAAUAUUGGGCAAUGGGCGCAAGCCUGACCCAGCAACGCCGCGUGAAGGAAGAAGGCUUUCGGGUUGUAAACUUCUUUUGUCAGGGAAGAGUAGAAGAUGGUACCUGACGAAUAAGCCACGGCUAACUACGUGCCAGCAGCCGCGGUAAUACGGAGGAUUCAAGCGUUAUCCGGAUUUAUUGGGUUUAAAGGGUGCGUAGGCGGUCGGAUAAGUUAGAGGUGAAAUCCCGAGGCUCAACUUCGGAAUUGCCUCUGAUACUGUUCGGCUAGAGAGUAGUUGCGGUAGGCGGAAUGUGUGGUGUAGCGGUGAAAUGCUUAGAGAUCAUAAAGAACACCGAUUGCGAAGGCAGCUUACUAAGCUACUUCUGACGGUGAGGAACGAAAGUGUGGGGAGCAAACAGGAUUAGAUACCCGUGUAGUC